GCUCACGGCUCAGCGCCUUCCCUCCCCGGGAGCCGGCCACGUGCGCCCGUGCUCCGUCCUUUCCUCAGCAGCAGGCCCAGGGGCGGAAGCCGGUGUGAGCUGGGCGAUAGUCGGGGGAGGAAGUCAGGGCCGGGGGUGUGGGGCUGGGGGGAGCAGCAGGUGUGCGGCCCGACCCGAUCUCCGGGCGGCUUUACCAGCCACAGAACAAAGCUGGCCUUUCGCUCUGCCAGACCCCAGGGUCCUCAGCGCUCAGGCCUCGUAACUUGGCGGAGUGUUGCCUACCAGUGCCCCCGAGCAGCACCCCCCAGCCCUCCGCUGUCGGCCCGCAGGCACGCCUUCUGCGGGACAGCCAGCGUGCCGGCCGGGGGGCGGUCCCGGCUCAGCUCACCCCGGGCACCCGGGGACCCGCGCAGAGCGCACCUUUUCUUGGAAGUUGAAGACCGUCUCGGCCAGGCGCUGCACGUACGGGUCGAGUUUGUAGGACUCCCACACCAGGGCGAUGCCCUCGGCGAUCAGGGCCUGCACCUCCUUCUUCAGGCCCGCCACCAGCAGCGAGAUGGUGUUGCGCUCCUCGACCUUCUCGCAGGUCCGCUCGUAAGUCCGGACGCUCUCGAUCAGCGAGAUGGCGAAUGGGUAGAGCUGGUUUGCUUGGUGAGCCUUGUUCACAAUCGCCAGCGGGACUCGGAACCCGAGCCACUUGAGGUUUCGAACUUCCUUCGAGAGGGUGAUGAUCUCGGGGAGGAAGUUGACUUUCAGCUUGAGGACGUUGCCAGAGCGGCCCCGGACGCGCGUGCUCUCGAUGGCGAAGAUGCGGCCCGAGACGCCGAGGUUGCGCUGCUGCACCUUCCUGGCCCAGUCGUCGAAGAUCUCCUGCGUGUUGAGCUUCAUGCGGAAGCUGUCGCCGUCCUGCUUCAGCUUCUGGCCCUCGACGUGGUUCUCCCAGCCCUUGCCCAGCACGUCCUCCACACGCUUCAUGUAGGCCGUCAGCUGCCGGUCGAUCUGCUUGGCCCAGAUGAUGGAGCCCGACACGGGCGGCAGGUCGCGCACGUGGCUCAUCUUGCACGCCUGGCUCUGUGGGUACUGGACCUUGAACUUGUCGUGAAGAGACUCGAUGUCGUCCUUCACGCGCUGGAUCAGCUGCGUCUGGUACUCGCGGAUGGCCCCGCGGAUGUGCGGCCUGACGAAGAGCGCGUUGAACCUGGAGAAGAUCCUGAACAUCUCGUUGGCGUUCUUGGCGGUGCCGAGCUGGUCCCGGAGGCGGGCGGUGAUGCGCGUCUCCACCCUGUCGAUCCUCUCGUCGUACCGCUUCAUGGCGGCCUCCCAGGCCUCCGUGCCCUCCUUGGAGACGUCCAGCCCGUCAGAAGAGCACACGCACCCCGGAAUCUUCGGCCGCGCGCCCAGGCCUCCUCCCAGCCAGUGGCCCACCCCGUGAGCCUCCAGGCUCACCUUCCCAGGGUCACCUGGGCGAUGUGUCCAGGGUCACAAAGCGAGCGAUGGCAGCGACCAGUGGGGAAUGCCAGCCUGUCGUCCAGCCUGCACGCCACCGCCCAUUGGUAAGGUUAGAGACGUUUGCCUCUAAUGCAGACAAUUUACUGCAGGCCCUCUGACGGCUGCUGCUGCCCUGGCCGCCCCUCUCCGGAGGUACCCACCCUCUCCCCUGGACACAGCACCGAAAUCCUCCCCACGCUCUCACGUGUUUCCUCUCUCCCUCCUGGAUUCUUCCCAACCAGUCCAACCUGCUCCAAUACAUCCCAAUUUCAAGAGAGGAGAGAAACUCUGCCACCCACCCCUUCCUGCUAGCGCCUCUCACUUCCUCCCUGCCUUUUCCAGCAGAUCUCCUCGAAAGUGAGUGUUGGUGGGGACUGUCUCUCAGCCAGGCCACCCCCACCGUCCUGGGCAAGUGAGUGCAGUGGUCAAGGUCAUGGGUGGCCUCCAUAUAGCCAAAUCCGGGGACCAGUUCUGGGUCCUCCUCCUGCCUGAGCCCUGGACGCGGUGGACACACCUCAGGGCUUUGUGUGCUGUCAAUUCUCCCAGCUCUGUGACACCAUCACAUCUGCACACGGAUGACCCCUAACCUUGGAGGCACACUUGCUGUUGCUGGGUGGAAUGUUCUAGUAAAUGCCAGUCAGGUCAGUUUGGCUGAAAACUGCUAAGACUUCUCUGUCUGUGCUCAUCUUCCACUUGUUCCACCUAUCGAGAGGGGUAUUGAACUUUUGGCUCGUAACUGUGCAUUUGUCUCUCUCCUCGAAGUCAGUCAGUUUUUGCUUCCUGUGUUUGCAGCUCUGGUAUUAGAUGCAUUAUUGACAUAUAAUGGAAUAAUGUAAACAUAUAGCAUUACUGUGUCCUUUUCGUGAAGUGAUCCCUUUAUCGUUGUGAAGCGACCCUCUUCCGUCUAGAACUAUUUGCUCUGAAAUUUACUUUGUCUGAUAUUAGCACAGCCGCUCUGGCUUUGGGUCAGUGUUGGUCUGAUGUCUUUUCCAUUCUUCACUCUUGCCCUGUCUGUGCCUUUAUAUUUCAAGUGGGUAGUUGGCUCUUGCUCUUUAAAAAUUCUGACCAUCUCUGCGCUUUAUUUGUGUGUGCGGAGGGAUUAGAGACAUGGCUGGCUUAAAUCACCGUCUGUUUUUUCCUGCCGCACUCUCAGUGCAUGGACGGUCCCAGGAUCUAUGCCACAGCUGCAGCAAUGCUGGGUCCUUAACCCCCUGCUCCACAGGGAACUGGCUAUUUGUUUUCUACUUGUCCUGUCUUUUCUUUGACCAGAAGUGAAUUUUUUUUUAUGGGACCAAAUUUGGCUGAGAAACAAAGGAACGUUUUAUUUGUUCUUUUGUCUUUUUAGGGACGCACCUGUAGCAUAUGGAGGUUCCCAGGCUAGGGAUCUAAUCGGAGCUACAGCCACCGGCCUACGCCACAGCCACAGCAACCUGGGAUCCCAGCUGCGUCUGCGACCUACACCACAGCUCACGGCAACACCGGGUCCUUAACCCCCUGAGCGAGGCCAGGGAUUGAACCUGCCACCUCAUGGUUCCUAGUCGGAUUCAUUUCCGCUGCGCCACGAUGGGAACUCCCAGGUCUGACCUUUUUUCUCACCUGCACUGCUGCCCUGGCUCCGACUCUUCUGGCCUUUGCGUCGGUGUUUUCCAGGCACAAGGGGAAGAGCCUCGGUAAACAGAGAUGAGAGGGGUCAGCACCCGCCUGUGCGCCUCUGUCUCCCCCCCGUGGGUCUGAGUGAUCGGCCCUUGGCUCCCCCUCCAAGCUCACCUCCGCCCUUUUCCUCAGCCCUGCUCACCUCCUGCUGUCCUCCACGCCAGCAGGCAGGCCCCAGCCUGAAGGUCUUCCCUCCUCCUCAGGGUCCCAAAGGGCUGGCUCCUGUCCCCCAGACCUCUGCUUUAGUGUGACCCCUAGAGAGGCCUCCCAAACAGCAGCCCACCGCCCGCCCCUCUGGGUGUUGCUCCACUUGCCUUGAGCGCGUGUUUCUCUGCACGACACAGACUCGUGCUUCCUGCUUAUGGUCUGCGCUCCCACUAGAAUGGGAUUCCACAAGGCCAAGGGCUUCCUCCGGAGGACCCCGAAUCUCAGCACCUGUCCGGGGCUGCAGCUGCGCGGUGCUUGCUGAGGGUGCCGAGUAAAGCUUUGAGUCUGAGUGAAUAAACAGACUACUGUUCCCUCCAGGUGGAUUACGGGGAGAGUCUAAACAAAGUGAAAACAGGAGUUCCCGUCGUGGCACAGCAGAAAGGAACCUGACUAGGAUCCAUGAGGACACGGGUUCAAUCUCUGGCCUCGCUCCGGGGGUUAAGGAUCCGGUGUUGCUGUGGCUGUGGUGUAGGCCGGCAGCUGCAGCUCUGAUUCAACCCCUAGCCUGGGAACUUCUCUAUGCCGCGGGUUUGGCCCUAAAAAACCAAACAGACAAAAAACAAACAAACAAAAAAAGAAGUGAAAACAAAAAGUAGUACUCAGCAGGUGGUACCUACAAACACAUCAGAGCUGGUCUGUAAAGAAGCCACCACAGCUCAGCUCCACGGUGUCACCAAACUUGGCUCAGCGCCCUCAAGUCACAGGCACACGCCGACCCCCCCAUGUCACCCCAGGCCUCUGAAGUUGAUCUCCAGCCACGGCUGAAAUGGAAGCCACGACGCGCUCCUUCAUCUCUCGAGACUUUGAGGAGUUCCCGCUCUGGCGCAGUGGGGUAAGAAUCCAGCUGCAGUCGCUGUGGAGGUGCAGUUCCAUCCCUGGCCCGGCGCAGUGGGUUAAAGGGUCCAGGGUUGCUGCAGCUGCAGCACAGGUCACAGCUGCAGCUCAGAUUUGAUCCCUGGCCUGGGAACUUCUACCUGCUAUGCGCGUG
ensembl:lncRNA